GCCCGGUACCGGCUGUUUGGCCUAAUGCUGGUCACGCAGCUGGAGUUCUUCAGGAAGCGAUUAGGAACAACGACGCAGAAGAGCUCUGUGGACUGAAAUCUGGUUUAUCGUGGUUUUGUGUCACAGCACACGACAUAACUGCUUUGUUUUUGCCUUUUUUCCUCAGGAUAGCUCCACUCCAGAAGUGGAUAUCGCAAUCCCAUUAUUUUUGAGUAUUUCUGUUAAUACGCUGUUCCUACGCUUCACCAGUGGCCUUGUCAGAACUUCUCUAGCGUGCUUUUGAAACAUCGCCAACGUCUGCUCCGUAAGCUCUGAAACGUUAUUACAUCAUUGAAAUGCAUCCUUGGUGAAGGUUUUAAUACUUUUUAAAAAAAGCUUACAUCUCGGAAGUACUUUAAGUAAGUCAGUGAGAAUGCUGCUAUAUUUAAAUACCUCUUGAAGUGGCAGCCAGGGUACCCAUCCUGCCUUCUUUUUAAUACCAUUUCUGAUCUGCAUAUUUACAUGUGACUCUCCGGGAGUCUUCACUGACUGCUUGUAAACGGCGCGAUGCUGCAGUUGGUGGUAUGUAAAUACUUUUCGAAGUUAUGCUGUAGUUUCAGAAGCAGAAACAAAUGUUGUGGUAUAAUAGAAAUAAUUUAUCUACUCAAAUAUGUAAGUAUGUGCUAAAAAUGAUAAGCAUUGGCUUGGUCUCUCUGAAAACUAACUUUCAGAUGGUCUAUAUUUCAGCUGGAUCACCUACCGUUUCCCUGGAGACACUGAUUUAUUUGACACACACACACCCCCGCCCCCCCCCACCCCCGCCCGGUUCCUCAAUUUGUCAACAGAGGGUGGAACUAAACAGCACACAAUAUCCCUGGAGCACCUAUAAAACCAGUGACAUGAAGUAAAAAGUACUGGAUUAGUCCUGGAUUGUCAGAAAUGGCAAAACGAGACCAAAAUUCCAGCUCUAAUCUAUGUGAAAAUUUAUAAUUUAUAGUAUUUGUAGCUAAGUGGAAGAGGUUUGUUUUAAAUUAAAACCCAAUUCAUUUAGUGGUUUGAUAUGAUUUAAAUUAAGGGUGGUCUUUUCAAUAUCCAGAAAUGAUUCUGAGAACAAACUGGAGCAAGUUUUGGGGAAAAAAAGGAGAGUUUUGUUUUUUUUCUGAAGUGCACAUAGAUAGAAAGUAUAUAUAUGUAGCUCUCCAAGCUAAAUAUAGCUUUCAGAGAUACGAAAAGGUAAACACUAUAUCAUUAUAUACUAAUAAUUACAGUUUUCCUAUUAGUGGUAUUUUUCUUGUUACCACAAGUCCAUAGGUUUAAGCAGAACAUUAAUUUUACUAUACAUCUUACCUUUUGAGGAAUAUCGAUAGUUUUGAUAUAUUUAUGUACUUUAUUUCUAUGGACAGAUAUAAAUACCAAGUGUAGAGCUUUCAAAACCAGCCAGUGUCUUGUUAAUUGGAAGUACUACUUUUAAGAGUAUUUGUUGCAGAAUUUCUUCCGAGCAGCUUUACUUAUCAGAGAGACCUCAGCCAUCUAGGCAUUACAUUUUCAUGUGCCUCUCAGUGCUACCUGUCUGUUAAAAAUGUCAGAUAACUGCUAGUAAAUGCAGUCUCGGAUUCAUUGCUGAGCGUACGUCCUACAUUUUAUCGCAGCUGAGAAAUCUGCUGGGAUCUGUGAGGCAGCUUAUUGUAUACCAGAAAAAGGAUACUCAUGAUAACUUAAGGCCGUGGCAGCUGGUGCUGAACUUGUGUUGCAACUGGAAUUUGCUCUCGGUGCAGCUUUAAACUUUACCCUCUUGUCUUUGGUGUGUGCUAAGAGAUCUUCACACACAGGUGGGAUGUUUGUCAGAGAAGCUGAAGACUUUUUACUGCAGUUCAAAAUAUGAGACUAUACUGAUGAGAAAUGGACUUUGGAAAGUUGUAGUUUAACAAAGGCAGAAAGAAGGAUAUGGGUUGGCCCUUCUAUUGAAGGUGUAUGUUCUACUUUCAAUGUACAGAAUCUUCUAGUGAAUAAUUUUUGGCAAUUCCUUCUGUUUAAUUUUACUACAGUUUUCCUCCAUUGAAUCCCUUUAAAAAGCUGUGCCAGUUGUAUUGCAGUAUUAAUCUUCUACCACAACUAUGUGCAUUCCGUUUGCUUUUCCAGUUCUAUUUUUUGCUUCUUUUUGAAUAUGGGAGCUCACUUUGUUCAAAUAGUGUGAAAAUAUUCACUAUUUGAACUCUCGAGGACCAUAUGAGAGAGUCCUUUCUUACUCCCAUUUAAAACGUGUGCUAGCUGCUCCUGCACAGACUGUUCCCACGGGAAUUUGAUACUGUUGCUGUCCAGAGAGGUACCAGCUUUCCAACUUUGUGCUUAUGGACUCUCUGUACUAUAUGUAUCCUGUAGGAGUAUUACUCUAUAUAGAGCUCUAUAUAUAUCCAGGGUAAAUCUGAACACAGAACAGCAAGUGGAAAAGCCUGCUCACAGUGAAUUUUUUGUGACGUAGAUGUUUCAAGAAAUGUUGAGCUGGAAGCCCAAAAUAAAGCUUCAUUAGAUGGGGUUUCUGAAGAUGUCUAGUCUGAGCCACUGUUUUCACACAUUCCAGACAGCGGGUGGGAAGCUUAUCCUCAGAAUCAGAAAAAGGAGCUGAAAAACUGUAUUUCUGCAUUCGAACUAAGUAUGUUUUCAAAUUUAAUACCAUGCUAAUUGCAGUCUAGCAGUUAACUAGUAAGUACAACCUGUAUCAAGAUGAAAUUUUACACUUCUUCAAGUGAGCUCACUGUGUAUCAACAGGUAGUGAAUCCCCAUUACUUAACACCAGCUUAUUACUUAGGUUAAGCCAUACAUGCAUUUAAGCCUUCAGGGUUAUUUAACUGCUCAGUUAAAUGGUAGGAGAGAGUGCUUUGUGAAACAAACAUUUUAAAAUACUUCCAUUUCUGAGGAUAAUACAUUCUGGUAACUCAGUUUUGAAUAACUUAAAAUUAAAAUCCUGUAACAGGACUGAGAGAUAGAAUCCAGUUCACUGGCUGUUAAUCAGUAAACCAUAAUCUAGAUAUUCUUAAUGCAGCAUUUGUCAGUGUAGUCAGCUUUUUACAGCAGCCAUUUGAAAUUGGAAGCAGGUCAUCAAACACCACCCCUCCAAAACCACACCAUAAUACUCCGGAAAACAUUGUGAACAUGGAUGUUCAGGAAGAACGUACACUAUUAAAAAGACACUGGUUACAGGAUUACUAGAGAGUUUGCAAUUUCAGUUCACAAUCGCAUUUAUGACGUUACAGAAAAAGUUGAAAUAAAAUAGUAGCUUUGUAUUUUCCCAGAGGGUGCACUUUGUACUUCAUAUUCUAAAUGAUGCAAUGUAAAUCCAUUUAUCUGAAUAAAAAUGAGUAAUGUACUGGAGUUUCAUUUCACUUUUUCAAAAAUAAAUGCACAAUGACUUGUA